rnacentral:rRNA from 1 species
GAUGAACGCUGGCGGCGUGCUUAACACAUGCAAGUCGAACGGUGAAGCCCAGCUUGCUGGGUGGAUUAGUGGCGAACGGGUGAGUAACACGUGAGUAACCUGCCCUUAACUCUGGGAUAAGCCUGGGAAACUGGGUCUAAUACCGGAUAGGAGCGUCCACCGCAUGGUGGGUGUUGGAAAGAUUUAUCGGUUUUGGAUGGACUCGCGGCCUAUCAGCUUGUUGGUGAGGUAAUGGCUCACCAAGGCGACGACGGGUAGCCGGCCUGAGAGGGUGACCGGCCACACUGGGACUGAGACACGGCCCAGACUCCUACGGGAGGCAGCAGUGGGGAAUAUUGCACAAUGGGCGAAAGCCUGAUGCAGCGACGCCGCGUGAGGGAUGACGGCCUUCGGGUUGUAAACCUCUUUCAGUAGGGAAGAAGCGAAAGUGACGGUACCUGCAGAAGAAGCACCGGCUAACUACGUG